rnacentral:lncRNA from 12 species
GUAAUGGGUUAUUUUUCAUGACAGAUUGAUGCUUUUCCUAGAAACCAAAUGAAAGCAGACAAAACAUUACUGUAUCACUGCAUUUGCUCCUGGGGAAUACUAAGAGUGAUGGAUUGAGGCAAGGGAAAUAAGACAACAAGAAAGGCAAGUGAAACAAAAAAAAACCCAACCAACCAAAGCUGCCCAGAUGUAGUGUAAGCAGGACAGUUCUGGAUGGAGAGACAGAACAGGUUUGUUCCCUCUGUCCUAAGCUUCUCUACUGUCAGCUUCUUGCUCGUUGGAAGUUCCUGAGGCCUCUCUGCUCUCUUACUACUGUUAUUGUGAAAACAGCUCUGUGACUAAG